UACAGAGGUCCCAAGCGUUGUUCGGAUUUACUGGGCGUAAAGGGCGCGUAGGCGGCCACCGCAAGUCGGUUGUGAAAUCUCUGGGCUUAACCCAGAAAGGUCAACCGAUACUGCGGGGCUAGAGUGCAGAAGGGGCAACUGGAAUUCUCGGUGUAGCGGUGAAAUGCGUAGAUAUCGGGAGGAACACCAGUGGCGAAAGCGGCUACCUGGCCCAUUCUUGACGCUGAGGCGCGAAAGCUAGGGGAGCAAACGGG
rnacentral:rRNA from 1 species